GACCACGUAGCUCAGUUGGCAGAGCAUUGGACUAGUAUCCCAAAGGUCGCGGGUUCGACUCCCAUCGUGACCA